UAUUUUCUGCAAUGCAAUUAAAAAAACAAAAAUGUCAUGCAUUCUGGAUUCAUUACAAAUCAACUGAAAUAUUGCAAGCCUUUUAUUCUUUUAAUAUUGCUGAUUAUGGCUUACAGCUUAAGAAAACUCAAAUAUCCUAUCUCUAAAUAUUAGAAUAUCAUGAAAAAGUAUACUAGUAGGGUAUUAAACAAAUCACUUGAAUUGUCUAAUUAACUCGAAACACCUGCAAGGGUUUCCUGAGCCUUGACAAACACUCAGCUGUUAUAAAUCUUUUUUUUAACUUGGUCUGAGGAAAUAUUAAAAUUUUAUGAGAUAGGAUUUUAGAGUUUUCUUAAGCUGUAAGCCAUAAUCAGCAAUAUUAAAAGAAUAAAAGGCUUGCAAUAUUUCAGUUGAUUUGUAAUGAAUCCAGAAUGCAUGACAUUUUUGUUUUUUGAAUUGCAUUACAGAAAAUAAAGAACUUUAUCACAAUAUUCUAAUUUUCUGAGACAGUCCUGUAUAUGUAGCUUAGCGAAAAUUCAGACAGGAAGACAUUGGGUACAGCUGGUUCAUUCACAAGUCUUGCAGCGAUUACUCCAUUAGCUGAUUGGGGGCGGGCCCGAUGAAUGAACCAACCAUUUAGAGCCAGCCCAGUUGGAUAAGCCUAUCACAGAGUCGUUGGUAACACUUUAAAGUUGUGUUCUCUGCUGCUGUCAGUUGUCGUUUCAGCUCGCGUCAUUUCGUAUGGGGAGAUUGGUCCUCUGCUGAUUGCAUCUAAUUAUUGGGAGCUGAAACAUGUCAGAUUCCGAUUGUGGUUAUCUCGUGGAGAGGUGUGUUCAGUGGCAGCCGGCGGGCUGCCCUGCUCAGGUGUACUCACCCAGUGCGGUGUUUCUAGCAGCGAGCCUCCUCUCCUGCUGCACUAGCAAGUAUGGCUAGUUAGUUAGCUGCUAUCAGCUGCUCCCUCUACGGCGACGGGACCGGAAGAGCGGGGGUAUGCCGAGGCUGCAGGCGAAGAGGAGCACGGCGCUUCUGGUAUUUGGUACGCCAGGAAUUCGUCUCCUCUACGAUUGACACGGCGUCAUCUCAGCCCUGCAGUCACGGUGUAGCUUCAUGCACACCAUCGAUGCUCUCUUCAAAUCCCGGUAACUGCUGUGUCUUUAUUACGUUGUUUCGGCGGCGCUAACUGGGCUCCGUGAGGUGAACCGGAACACUAAAUAAGUGCACUCUGAGUUCAGAUUAGCGCCCGAAGCUCCGGACCGUCUUUUCGAUUCAAGCAGUACGAACCAGUCCUUCCAGUCACGGAAGGGGAGCGUGUUCGAAAGCGAUGCCGCUUGUGAAAUGACAUAACGGGGCAGCAGUUGAUACAAACUUUAAUGUCGCGGUAGGGCGGCGCCAGGCAUGCACGCGUCAGGAGAAGUAUCGCAGCCGGCGAUUACUCUGGUAGUCCCGCUAUGGUCGCGGCUGGGUCGUGACAUCGCAUUGUCUAACGUGUAUUCUGUUUUGACAUAGCCUGAUAGUUGUAUCAAUGGAUACGUAGUGUAAAUAAAGGUUUCUAAUUUAGGUUAACUUAAGGAUGCAGUUGCAACUAAAUAAUACGUAACGUAGUUGACUGCCGCGGUAAGUACAGUUAGUGGGAGGAUGUCAGUGAGAAUAAAAUAUAAAUAUAUUGUAUACAAAUGAAAAUAAAUAUUUUUAGUUUAUAUUUAUAAAGAAGGUCGAAGUCAUUGAGUCUGUAAAGUCAAUAGAGCCGAUGUAGUCCGGGGCAAGUUUCAGCCUUUACAAGACAGCUGGGACUAACGCUGUGCCCCUUAAGGCUGACUAGAGCAAACAUUAAGCCGGUAAGGCUGGCGUGAGCAUUGAGCCUCGGAAGGCUGGAGCAAGCGUUGGGCCUGUAAGACUGGCUGGAGCGAGCCUUGGGUCUGGAAGGCAGGCUGGCACGAGCAUUGGGGCCUGUAAGACUGGCUGGAGCUAGCAUUGACCCUGUAAAAGCUGGCCGGAGCGAGCAUUAGGCUCGGAAGACUGGAGCAAGCGUUGGGCCUGUAAGACUGGCUGGAGCGAGCCUUGGGUCUGGAAGGCAGGCUGGCACGAGCAUUGGGGCCUGUAAGACUGGCUGGAGCUAGCAUUGACCCUGUAAAAGCUGGCCGGAGCGAGCAUUGAGCCUCGGAAGGCUGGAGCAAGCGUUGGGCCUGUAAGACUGGCUGGAGCGAGCCUUGGGUCUGGAAGGCAGGCUGGCACGAGCAUUGAGGCCUGUAAGACUGGCUGGAGCUAGCAUUGACCCUGUAAAAGCUGGCCGGAUCGAGCAUUGAGCCUCGGAAGACUGGCGUGAGCAUUGAGCCUCGGAAGACUGGAGCAAGCAUUAAGCCUCGGAAGGCUGGAGCAAGCGUUGGGCCUGUAAGACUGGCUGGAGCUAGCAUUGAGCCUCUAAUGGCAGGCAGGAGCAAGCAUUGAGCCGCUAAGUUGGGGAAUGGGAGUCGAUCUGUUGGAAACUUGAGACUUUCAAAGAUUUACUUUCUUUCUGCCUACCGGUUUGUGGUAAAGAUGGCUUUGCUUGGUCACAUAUUUGUAGUUGGGUAGCAGAAUAAGGUAAAAGCCAGAGUGGGCUUGUUAGGAUACAACAUUUAGAAGUAUAAUAGAGGUAGCAUAUAUUUAGUAGGCGUGGGUUUUUGUGUUUUCUUUAAAUAGUCAUUAAACGUUAAUUCAACAGCUCGUCUUUAAAUGUGGUAAUAAGUUUUCAGAAGAAACAGGAUGAUAACGUUGGCUGGUUGUAAGGAUACCUGACAGAUGGCAAAAGGAAGAGUUUUCCAUCAGUACAUGCUUCCUGUCUAAUGUUAAAUCCGAGGAGAAAUGUGGUUGAACUAAUGAUUGGCAGGUUAGUACUGUUGCAUGUGGAAUGACUAGAGAGGUAAGAAGGUAGAAUAGAGAGUAAGUAUCUAUCAGGGGUAGGUCCAGCGUGAGGAUGAUAUCGGCUGGGUCUUGACCCUUGCAUAAAGGACGGCAUAAACGCUUUGGUGUGAGCGCGGCAGUAUAGUCGUGGGCGUCUGCGGAGGCUUGGUCUAGGACGCAAGAACAAGUAAAAGAGUUUACGCUUACUCACUCUCCUGGCCAUUGGUACAUUCGUCAGAGGUAUCAUACCUGACGAAUGCGCGUUUAUGGCCUACUCUCUGGAUAUGGCAUCGGCCUAUCUCAAAUUUUCCCGAUAUUAUCUAGCUUGAUGGGCCGGUAUGACCUGCGGGGCAGGUUGUUGGACAAUUUCUGUAUGGAGUUGCGUUUGCUGCAAAGGCUGAUGGUGCAUUUCCCUGAUGCAGUCAAGGGCUACACGGAUGCAGGCCAUCCGUGGUUUUGGGGGGUUACUGGCCUCCCUCUGUGACACAGUUGCAGUCCGUCAAUGGUGAUCGUUAAGCAACUUCAUUAGCUUAGGAGACGCUCAGCUUCCUAAACACCUCAGGCCAUUUUCGGAUCCUGGAUGGUCUUCCCGGGCAAUACUCCAAGUAUCUAGGCAGCUGUGUACGGGAGGGCCUCCUUUCUUCGAUCAACGAAGCAUUAUGUAGGUCAAAGGGGUAGCACAGAGGUGCUACUUUGGCUAACCCCUAGGCAUCGCAGUUGCACUGAUGCCGGGAAUGGGACAGCUGUAGACCUUUACCCUGACCUCAACCUAAUGCUGGCAAGUCAUAAAUCAUUGAAGUCCGGCACUAUAUGGUAAGUCAGUCAUAUAAAUUGUUUGUGAUGUCCGUUUCAAGUAUUGGUUGGCAGUGACUUGUCAGUCAUCUUAUGUACAGCCGUAUCUCACCAUAGCUAAGGUUCCAGAUCCGCUCGCUAACACGGACUUGUGGAACCAUGCUGGUGCGAGGUGAUCCGUUUUCUUGUGUUUGCCUCAAUUUCCUGCUUCUACGUUGCCUCAUCUAAACGUGUGCUUCUAGCAUUCUCUAGUUUCACGUUGCCCUUAACUAACAUGAAGCAUGCUUGAGUACCUCUUGGUUCGGCCUAAGACUGGCUCCUCUGCUCCUCUCUUCCUUCCCCCGGGGAAGGUGGCCAUAUCUCAGACUUGGUUCCGGGGUCAUUGGAAGGUUAUCCUCCCAAAUAGCAACUUAGCCUAGCCAAACUACUCGGGGCAUUCUUUCCGGAUAGGGGCUGCUACUUCGGCGGCCGCCAAGGCAUCUCCGCCUCAACUCUACAGAGAAUGGGGAGGUAGUCCUCCUCUGCCGUUGGCUCCGACAUCCGGCUGGACCUCGACACCAUAUGGUCAAAUCAGAGGUCCCUGAAACCUUAAAUUGGUCUCCGUUACCUGGCAAAGCGGAUUAUCUUCCAAUUUCCAGCAAAAAAAUCAGGCAAAAGAUGGUAUGGAAACCCGCUCUCGUUUACAGGUCCGGGGAGGGCCGUCACAAAGCUGACAUAAUAUUCCUGUUUCCGGGUAUUUCUUGUUUCUGGGUCUGCGACGAACCCGUCCAACGAGGACACAGUCUUUUUCCCGGACGUACUUCCCCGGAUGCGUGGGAACGCCAGAGUCCGACAGGGGUCUAACGAGAAGCGACCAACCGAUACAAAUCCGACUCGAACUGUCCUGCGGUCUUGAACGUGACCCCUACUAUCCUGUUCUGCGGUCUACACAGGACCCCAACCUGUCCUUGUCUGCGGUCUACCCAUGACCCCAAUCUAUUCUUGUCUGCGGUCUAACUUGACCCAACCUAUCCGUUCCUUGGGAGCGACCAAGCACGUCGUGACCCCCGCUAUCCAUUCGGGGAUCUUAAAAUCCCCUUCUCCUUUGAAGUGCUAGUUCCUUUCCACACUGUCCAGUUCUGCGGUCUACUCGACCCCCUCCUGUUCUUGUCUGCGGUGCGUCUUCACCCCUAAUCUGCCUUUCUGCGUCAUUUCCGACCCCGCUAUCAUUUUCGGGAUUCGGUCGGAUCCUGCUGUCUUAGUGCUGUAUAUCUAGAUCGGCACUAUUAGCUUCUGCAGUCGAUAGAGACCCCCGUAUCCUUGUCUGCAGUCCUUCGGGGCCUUCCUCUCUUGCUUUUAGCUAGACCUUCUGAACUCUGUGAUGUUUACUAUUACGGCUAGCAUUAAUCCCUUCGAACCAUAACUAGUGGUUUCAUGAAAUGGUUCUAGGGGUGCCUAGGAAACUUCUGCGGCUGUAGGUAAGGUUGAAUUUAUUUUAUACAGAUAAAAUAAUUCUCUUUGGGGGGAUUCUGCCUGCGCAGAUAUCAGCAUCUCUACCCCUGGUUUAUCCUACUUCAGGAUGGAGUCCAAUCGCCAAAAAAGACUUUGCACUAUUGCAAUAUUCUAUUGUAAUAAAUGAUUGUUCAACUCUAAAUA